rnacentral:lncRNA from 1 species
GUUAUACAUGCUCUUUGCAGAAAAUUUGAAACACACAUAAGAAAAGGAAAAAUCUGCCCUCCAGAUAUAUUUGCUAUGGGUGGCUCCUAAUGACCAAUGCUUCUGGGUAUCCAUGCCCCCUCCCACAAUGACUCUAGGCUUGGCUGUGUAUGAUGGCCAUCCAUCUCCUGGAGCUGCUGAUUGACAUGGAAUAUACA